AAGACACAAAAAUAAAAUUUACUUACGAACUUGAAACAAAGAAGUUACUACGAGUUAAAAAUGAGAAAAGCACACAAAUAAUGAAGACACGAAGAAACGGAUUCAAUAAUUAAUCUACAACUAAGUAGGUGAUUACUAGUUGUUAAUUAAUUCUAGAAUCAAGACAUGAAACUAAUGAAACAAUAAGAUGAAACUAAGAAUCUAAAAU
rnacentral:lncRNA from 1 species